rnacentral:tRNA from 1 species
GGAGAGAUGGCUGAGCUGGUCGAAAGCGCUCGACUCGAAAUCGAGUGUGCGGUGAUGAGCUGCACCGUGGGUUCGAAUCCCACUCUCUCCGCCA